UCAAACAAAGCUUAUUUCAGAGCAGGCUUUGUCUUCAUUUAGCUUGAUUGUUAAUUUUAGAAGAUUAUAAAAAGGUACAGAUAUAGGCUGUGCAAGAAAGGGGCUUUGUUGGCCUGCUGAAGAGUGAAAAAUAAAGCCACACUGAGUAAGAGUGGAGAGUAAAAUAAAGCCAAAACAAAACGGUGUGGGGAGGAGAUCUUUAACUCUGAGCUGCAGUCGCAUGCUAUAGUGCAAUCUUUCAUAUGAUGAUGUUUCCAGAAGCCAGUUUUUCGAAAUGGACCACCAUUGCAUUGAGGGUGUAGAAGCUGCAGAUAUGUGAUUCAGUCUGUGGGCCACCAGGCACCCAAAGUCAUGAGGAAGAAAAUCUUACCAUUGAUGGCAGCUGUCUGCUUCUGGGGCUUCACUGAUUCACCAUGCCUAACAUCAUAAACGUCCUGUCAUUUGAGUAGAUUGUAAAAAAGAUAUUGGAAAACCGAAGAAAAUGGGGAAGACAAGGAAGAGACUGGUUAAAGAGAGGACAAGUGUAAAAAGCAUCUGUCUGAAGAGGAUACUUAAGGUCUUGACAUAUAACGCAUCAGGCUGGACUUUCUCUCCACUCUGUAAAGCAUCCAAUGAACUGCUGCUGUACAAAUGGAUUUAUAAAAGUCUCAUGAGCAAGGGUUUCUUCUAAUUUGAUUAAGUUUACAAAUUGUCUGACACCUCUGCAUGAGCUGUUUCAGAAAGCUACUCUUUCUUCUGGACUCGAUAACUGUGCAGCCUGCCAGGAAUGCCCCUACUGUUCACGUCAGCCGUCCUGCCUUGCCUUGGGCAGGCAUCUUGUUGGAGUUCAAACACUAACAGGUUACAACUGAUAGCAUGUAAUCCUAACUUUGGGGACAGUAUGAUGCAAAAAUGAAUUGAAGUAUAUUUCCAUUUCCAUCUUUUUGCAACCAAUUUUACUGUUUUCUUAAGGCCAACCUUACUAUAGCUUACAAUCCUGAUUCCCCAGUUGCAAGGAAUGAAGUUUGUAAUUUGCACACUUGGAAAAAAAGGGUUACAGAAGAACAGAUGCAUGUUGUGUGCUGCAAAAUUUUUGGGUUUCCAAUUUCAUACCCCAUGGACUGUUCAUCAGAAGGCUCACAUCAUGGAAAAUGUAUCUGUGAUAUCUUUCAUGCUUGUCCUGCACUAAAAUAAAUCUAAAUGGAACUGAAAGAAAUGCUAUGCGCUUUGAAAUCUGCAUGGAGCAGUAUGCCAAACCAGCUCAAGAGACCCCAAACCCAGGGCAUGUUAUGAGAAUUAUGGAUCUGGAUAGCAUUUUCUUUCAAGUUACGAAGGCCUGUAUGGGAACUACCAUUCUGGGUAAUAAGUUUUGGGAAGACAUUCACAAAUCAAAUAACUUUCUGCAAGCUGGUCUAGUGGAAGGUGUCCCUGCCCAUGGCAAGGGAGUUAAAACUAGGAGAUCCUUACGGAUCCCUUCCAACCCAAACCAUUCUGUGGUUCUAUGAGAUACCUGUCAUUACCUAGCAAGAAGGGCAGAGGUGUUCAAUAGCUCUAGCCUUACCUGCACAUAUCGGUUCCAGUUUACCUAGAUCUUGUUUGCCCUUCAAAAUGAUGAGAGAACUGUGGCAUGAUGUAUUCCUCCCCGUAGAAAACCACCACUGUGCAUUGUGAAAUAAGCUCUUACCCACUGAUUUCUUUGUACAUGUCUUUAAAAUGAAAAUACCAGUUUUACGUAUUCUCGUAUAUUUACCAUCAUAUUUUAGGAGCCUGAUAGUUUCUCCUAACUACUUGACUGUUUUCAUUUGUAAUCAUAUUGUUCCAUAAAGUGAUGAUAGUGUUACUUGUAGUAUCUAAAUCACAAAGGAAUUAAUUGCAUUUGAAAAGAUGUUCAAGGCUUUGAGUUUUUAACAGUGAUUAUAAUUCUGCUUGUUAGCUUUGAAAAAGAGAAAAUAUGUUCUUUCACCUUUUGUUUUGGAGGGGAAAAAAAGUCAUGUUAAUACUGAUAGCUAUCAAGUAAGGUGAUGUUUUGUGUAACUAUAUAUGGUAUUUUUUCAAAGUUCUUUUGUCAGUAUCCCCAUAGAACUGCUGGGGAUGUCAGUGGGAGAGAAGCAUGCGUAUUUAUCUGCACCUGGCAGCACAAGCCCUGAUCACUUCUUGUCAUACAGCAUAUACAGGGUUUCAGUCAAUAACGUAUUUUCAUCCUUCAGCUGUCUAUGGACCACCAUAUGCGACUACAACAGCUGCAGAACACCACCUAGUGGUGCUAAGCACUCCCUCCAGCUAAUUAAAUACAUUAAACUUCCUUCGUGUCUCUCCCAUUUAGUUUAUUUCUAAAAACUGCUGCCACCACUAGGUGAAAUUCUGGCCCAGGCAGAACUAUCAGGGUCUUUGCACGCUGGACAAUUAAACAUAAUAUUGAAUAUGCCUUAAACGAUGCAGCCAUCAUGGCCCCCCCUUCAUCAGCAGAAAAACAGGUAUGUGCUUGGCAAAUUUAGGUUUGGGGUUAUGAGGAUAUAUGGUUUUGGGGUAUGAUUCUAUGUAUUGUGGAAAAUCUUGGCCAACACCUUUUUCCUAUGAUAGCCUGAAGACAUUGUUUUAAAUUAAAUUCCUUACUGCAUUUAGCUUUCUGGGUGAAACAGAUAUGCAAGUAUGCCUAGAAAAAAAUGGAUUUUAAUAUGAAUGUAUAAUAAUUUGGUUCUCUGUAUUUUACAGCUUCUCUCUUUGGUCUCCUGAGAGAUUUAAAAUCGAAGCUGAUAAAUUUCAAAUGACAGUCUGUCUCUUAUAUUUGUCAUUUUCCAAGACAUUCUUGGUGUGCUUACACAAUAAUGGACCUCUAAUACCAUUUCAAGCUGAUCCAACAAACCUUCAAGAUUUUGCACAUCAUACCUAAAAAA